ACAUUGGUAUUUGUAAAAAGCAAACCGACGAGCGGAUAAGGCGAAAUACCUGAAAGGCAGCAGCGAAAAACACGAAAAGCCAGAAACAGCAACAGCAACCCAAACCAAAACCCCAAUCCAAACCCAAACCGAAACAACUCGAACUUCGUGCAGUGUGGCAAACUGAAAAAGAAACUGAAAAAACUGAAAAAAAAACACAGAAACAGAAACAUAAACCAGAAAAAGAAGCAAAUCGAAGCGUAAAUAAACAGAGAGAACUGGAGCGAAUGCCAAAAAAAUUAAAUAAAACCGAAAAAAAUACAAAAUAGAGUGAAAAACCACACACUCAGAGGGAUAUAAGAAAGAGGUUUUUUCCGGAAAACGCGCGGAAAAGUGCAUUUCAAUUUUUUUCGAGUGAAAGUUGGGGGCCCACGCCCACCCACGUCCACGCCCACGCCCACGCCCACAAUGAACCGUUCGAACAGCUUUGUGAGCUCGCUGAAAUGGUGGCCACUGCAGGGCCACAACAAUCAGCCGGCUGUGGCGCCACCUACCGGCGGCGGCGGCGGCGGCUACUCCCAGUCGGCGCCCAGCUCGCCCACCUCCAACUGGCCACCGCCACUGCAGCAGCACCAGAACCCCACCGCCCACCGGCUGAUGCCGCCCACCGCCCACCAGAAGGUCGCCGGCGGUGGCAUUGUGGGCGCCACCUUCGGCAGCAGCGUGGCCGUCCAGAAGCUGCGCGAAUCCAAGUGGUUCAAGCCCGAGGAGCAGCGCAUCUUCUGCGCCGUCGUCGAGUGCGGCUUCGUUGUAGAGAUCCGCAGCAGCGCCGCAGCAGAGGCGGCUGCGGCCAGUGCUGCCGCAGCGGCCGCAGCAGCCGCCUCCGGCGAUGCCGACAUCGACGUCGACGCCCUCGAGGAGCUCGACUGCCCCCUCACCGCCCAGCCCCUGACCCUGACCCCACCAAACCAAGCCCAAAAGCAAAACCAAUCCCAAUCCCACCCACAGCGGCUGGUCAUCCCGCGCAACGGUAGCAGCUUCCUGGAGACCCAGGACGAGAACGAGACGCCAGUCGCCUCCUGGUACGGCAUCGUACUCUGCAAGGUGGCCAAAGACAAUAAACCCAAGCCCGAGACCAUUGAGAUAUUUUCUGUGAAAAUACGUGAGAAUGGCACAUACAAACUAAUCAAGAUGCAACUGGCGGAUAUUUGGAACCAUGGAUGGGAGCUGCGCAUCAACAACUUUGCCGACAAGGAGAAGGUCCCCCACAACGAGAAGGACAUUCGCAAUCAGGUGUCGGUGGCGCGCAAGGCCAAGCAGAGUUUGUGGAACAACAACAAGCACUUCGUGUACUGGUGCCGCUACGGAAGUCGUCAGCAGGAUCUGCGGAAGCGACAGGUAACGACGAGUGCCAAUCACGUGCUCCUGCACCUGAUCAAUUGAUAAGCGGAGCCAGCCGGCGAAAGGCGAAAAGCGAAAGGCCCAGAGCAAGAACUUAAGAAAUUGAAAAGAAAUGCUAAUGAAAAGCCGACACAGAAACCAAAAUUUGCCACUCCCCCUCAGCAACCGCCUCCUUUUCCCGAUCCCCACUACCACCCACAUGCAUUGAUUGUUGUAGUUGCAGCAGCAAACAGCAAAUGAAACGAAUGAAAAACCUAAAAAAAAAAGCUAUGUAAAAACACAAAAACACACACACACACAAACCAUACACUGACCAAAACCAUACACUCAGAAUAAUGCAUGGACUAAAAACGUACUGAGGAAACCAGAAAAAAAGAACCAUUAACUUUUCUAGGGCCACACAAGAUAUAUAACCAUCAUCAUUCUGAAUCAUGCUUGCUUUGCUCAUAUAUAUAUAUAUAUAUUCGCCAAAAAAACAAAACAAAAAAAAAAGAGAUGCUAACCCCGAGAAUUUCCACAAUUUAACCAGUAGAAACUCCAAAAUGCAUCCACCCAUUCCCAGAACAUUUUGUAUGAUAAAAAGCGAUCAUCUUUCUACAGUACCGAAAGCAUUACUUUGUGUAUUACGCAUAUAUAUAGUUAUUAUAUAUGUAUAUAUUAUUUAUAUAUUUCUGUGAGACUGCAAACUGCCCAUUUAAUGUUGAUGUUUUAUGAUGUGCAACCAAAAAAAAACAUGGGCCUGAUUUUUGAUUUUCGAUUUCGUCAAGAGAGACUUUGCUUGACUUUCUUUUCUCAACCACUUUCAGUUAGAUUUUCCGGCUUCAAAGUCCCACAUACGUUGAGUUCUUGUAUUCAAAUGAAAAAACAAGCUUAAAGUCUGGGUGAACUGGAUUAUCUGGCGGAUUGGGCGUGUGAAAAAAGCGAAACAAACGAACUGUUGGCGAAAGUGAAGAUCGGAAGCGGGCCCAUGGGCCCAUGGGCGCCACACACACAGCAUACAGCACACCUCCUUGUUGUUUGUUAUCUUCUUCCGGCACUUUAAUCCCAGGGCCAGGCCUUCAUCGCCCAGAACCGAGACAUGUCGGAGUGCGUGAAAUGGGGCAGCGUGGGCAUGAAUGCGGGCAUGCUGUUGGUGCUCAAUAAUCGGCAGAAAUGCCAUUCCCACUCAAAGUAACAAGCUAACUAGUUACCUUCUUCAUUUUCCCCAUAACGAUUUAUAUAUAUGGAUAUAUAUAACUAUAUAUAUAUAUGAAAUAGCUUGCCUACUGCUAGAGCGUAGAAACCACAGAACGAUUUUAUACAGCAAACAAGUAUUAAAGCAAAUUCGGAUGAUAAGAUAAUUUAUGGCUUAAGAACGCCAAGGGCAGUGGAAAAAAACCAAAUGCAAAUAUACGUAUUAAGUGCAGAGAUAGCCAAGAAAAUUUAGAUCAGGGCGAGGGCUUUUUUGGCAGUAUUAAAUAAAAAAAAUUGAGGAAAUUUGUAUAAGAUUAAAAUCAAAAAUAAAGGCAGGGCGAAGCUGAGCAAAGCAAGAAACAUGGCCUAAAUUCAUACGUCACAAGAACACACUACACUCCCGCCCAAGUUUGUAGAGCUGUUGCAACUGGAGCUACAAUUUAUCAGAAUACUUUUGUAUUUACCAUUGUGUAUAUGACACAGAACGAGAGAGAGAGACACACACACACUGUGAAAUUCGAAAAGACUUAUUAAAUAUUUGUUUGUUUUUUUUUUUGUCCUAAUUUUUUGUUUUUCCAUGUGAUUAAAUACGUAUACAUUAUUAUAUAUUUAUAUACAUUGUGAAAAUGGCAAGCAUACAUGCAAGGCAACAUUUAUUGUUUUCUUCGUUAUUUAAGCGUAGUUAAGAGAUACCCGAAGAUAUCCCCAACCUAUAAAAAUGGGGCUAAAAUCAAGCGAACACUCUACGUAGCAAGCAUAAUAAUUUAUAGCAUUGUAAAACAAUCAAAACAUUCGAAAUGUUUCGUUAUGUAUUUAGCUAUUUAGCUCUACGCGACCGAAGACGACGACUCCGAACCGAAAAUUAGAAAAGAAAAAUGGAAUACCUAAGCAAAAAUGGCAGAUGCAGAUGCAGUUUUGCCGGAAAAUAUUUUUGUACAUAGGGAAACUGAAAACUGGACGCACUGUACGGAUACGGACUCUUGCAUACGUAAUCAAGAAAGAUACAAAAUUUACAAAAUUACAUUACAAAAAAAAAGGAAAUAUAAAAGUAAAGAACGCUAGUUCGUAAGCUAUAUAUACAUUAUUACUUAUUUUGUUUAAGUUUUGUCUUUUUUAAGCAAUUUAUAAAAUAUUUAUGGUAGUCUUAUAUACAUUUCGACAAUGUGAGGAAAUUUGAAUAUGAAACGUUUGUAAAAUGCUUUAUAUUGAUAUUAUUAUUAAAUGUUUACCAACGGAUUAAACAAUA